AAGCAAGUUCAGAUAUAUACAAAAAAAUCGAUUUGCGUUCGUCCGUACAAAAAAUAAUGUUAGGUAGGUAUGUUCUGCGAGGCGCGCGUAGACGACUUCCACGCGAUCAUGCGUAAGCGCUGUGCGUCUCUGUUGCGCCGUGCGCGUGCCAGCCCCAACACCAUCAUGAGCGCAUUGGUGGACCGGUACGACUCGCCGCUGCUGAACCGCUGGGUGCGAUUGCACGCUGUUACAUAGCGGCCCGCGGCUUCGGUGAUUCGGGCCGGUCUCUUGUGUUUUAUUUCUAUGUUGUUCGUCUUUCGAAUCUGUUACUAAUACUAGGUUAAGCCUUUUGUUACUAACUAAAUAUGGACUAGUUUCCGAAAUAAAUAUUUUGAAUUUGAA